AGUGUCAUACGAGACUGCUCCCGCUUUGCGGGGGAGGAAGGAGAGGAUGAUGUCAAGUCAGCAUGUCCCUUACAUCCAGGGCAACACACAUCCUACAAUGGAGCCGACAAUGGGUAGCGACGGGGUGACCCCGAGCCAAUCCUCUAAACGGCCCCUCAAUUCGGAUUGAGGGCUGAAAUUCGCCCUCAUGAAGCCGGAAUCGGUAGUAAUCGCAAAUCAGCAGGUUGCGGUGAAUACGUUCUCGCUCCUUGUACACACUGCCCGUCAAGCCAGCAAAGUCAGCAGCGCCCGAAGCGGGUGACCCUGACCCCUCACUCUGUGUUUUACCCAUGUAGAGCAUAUAGUGAGGGGGUGGGCCCCUCUACGGUGAGGUUGGCGAUGAGGACUAAGUCGUAACAAGGUAUCUGUACUGGAAGGUGCAGAUGGAUCACCUCCUUU
rnacentral:rRNA from 1 species